rnacentral:rRNA from 1 species
GACGAACGCUGGCGGCGUGCUUAACACAUGCAAGUCGAACGAAGUGGCGAACGGGUGAGUAACGAGUAAUCAACCUGCCCUUCAGAGGGGGACAACAGUUGGAAACGACUGCUAAUAACACAUACUGAAGGAGGGGAUUGCGUCUGAUUAGCUCGUGGGGUGGGUAACGGCCAACCCAGGCGAUGGUCAGUAGCCGGUCUGAGAGGUUGAACGGCAACAUUGGGACUGAGACACGGCCCAGACUCCUACGGGAUGCAGCAGUGGGGAAUCUUCCGCAAUGGACGAAAGUCUGACGGAGCAACGCCGCGUGAGUGAUGACGGCCUUCGGGUUGUAAAGCUCUGUUAAUCGGGACGCGGUACCGGAAUAGAAAGCCACGGCUAACUACGUGCCAGCAGCCGCGGUAAUUC